rnacentral:tRNA from 1 species
ACCUGGCUGGCCUAGUAGGUAGAGCAUGUGACUCUUGAUCUCGAGGCGUGAGUUCAAGCACCAUGUUAGGUG